AGAACGAACGCUGGCGGCAUGCCUAAUACAUGCAAGUCGAACGAACUCUUCGGAGUUAGUGGCGCACGGGUGCGUAACGCGUGGGAAUCUGCCCUUGGGUUCGGAAUAACAGUUGGAAACGACUGCUAAUACCGGAUGAUGACGAAAGUCCAAAGAUUUAUCGCCCAGGGAUGAGCCCGCGUAGGAUUAGCUAGUUGGUGAGGUAAAGGCUCACCAAGGCGACGAUCCUUAGCUGGUCUGAGAGGAUGAUCAGCCACACUGGGACUGAGACACGGCCCAGACUCCUACGGGAGGCAGCAGUAGGGAAUAUUGGACAAUGGGCGAAAGCCUGAUCCAGCAAUGCCGCGUGAGUGAUGAAGGCCUUAGGGUUGUAAAGCUCUUUACCCGAGAUGAUAAUGACAGUAUCGGAGAAUAAGCCCGGCUAACUCCGUGCCAGCAGCCGC
rnacentral:rRNA from 1 species